rnacentral:rRNA from 1 species
GACGAACGCUGGCGGCGUGCUUAACACAUGCAAGUCGAACGGAAAGGCCCUGCCUUUGUGGGGUGCUCGAGUGGCGAACGGGUGAGUAACACGUGAGUAACCUGCCCUUGACUUUGGGAUAACUUCAGGAAACUGGGGCUAAUACCGGAUAGGAGCUCCUGCUGCAUGGUGGGGGUUGGAAAGUUUCGGCGGUUGGGGAUGGACUCGCGGCUUAUCAGCUUGUUGGUGGGGUAGUGGCUUACCAAGGCUUUGACGGGUAGCCGGCCUGAGAGGGUGACCGGCCACAUUGGGACUGAGAUACGGCCCAGACUCCAACGGGAGGCAGCAGUGGGGAAUAUUGCACAAUGGGCGGAAGCCUGAUGCAGCAACGCCGCGUGCGGGAUGACGGCCUUCGGGUUGUAAACCGCUUUCGCCUGUGACGAAGCGUGAGUGACGGUAAUGGGUAAAGAAGCACCGGCUAACUACGUG